GAUGAACGCUAGCUACAGGCUUAACACAUGCAAGUCGAGGGGAAACGACAUCGAAAGCUUGCUUUUGAUGGGCGUCGACCGGCGCACGGGUGAGUAACGCGUAUCCAACCUGCCCAUCACUUGGGAAUAACCUUGCGAAAGUAAGACUAAUACCCAAUGACAUCCCACGAAGACAUCUGAAUGGGAUUAAAGAUUUAUCGGUGAUGGAUGGGGAUGCGUCUGAUUAGCUUGUUGGCGGGGUAACGGCCCACCAAGGCAACGAUCAGUAGGUGUUCUGAGAGUAAGGUCCCCCACAUUGGAACUGAGACACGGUCCAAACUCCUACGGGAGGCAGCAGUGAGGAAUAUUGGUCAAGGGGCGAGAGCCUGAACCAGCCAAGUAGCGUGCAGGAUGACGGCCCUAUGGGUUGUAAACUGCUUUUAUAAGGGAAUAAAGUGGGUCUCGUGAGACUUUUUGCAUGUACCUUAUGAAUAAGGACCGGCUAAUUCCGUG
rnacentral:rRNA from 1 species